rnacentral:rRNA from 1 species
UACAGAGGGGGCAAGCGUUAUUCGGAAUUAUUGGGCGUAAAGGGCGCGUAGGCGGCUUGGCAAGUGGAUGGUGAAAUCCCUCGGCUUAACCGAGGAACUGCCAUCCAGACUGCUUUGCUUGAGGCCGGGAGAGGUGAGUGGAAUUCCCAGUGUAGCGGUGAAAUGCGUAGAUAUUGGGAGGAACACCAGUGGCGAAGGCGGCUCACUGGACCGGUUCUGACGCUGAGGCACGAAGGCCAGGGGAGCAAACGGG